UUUGCUGAUAGUGCCGUGAAAUAGGUAUUAAUUUUCUAUAUGGCUUUAGAAAGAUCUUAAACAGACUUAAAUUUAAGUUGAAGAAACCUGUAGGAACACUUUUAUAGCUUUGGGGAGAUGUUGUGUGGUCAUGAUUACUUUUUGGUGGAAAAUAUAUUUUACAGGGGGAAAUAUGUUAGUUUUUUAAGCUUUUUAUGUUCGUAUCUGAGUUUUACACCUGAUGGGCUUUAUUAUUAUGGUUAGAGUGCUAAUCUGAUAUGUAUAAUUAUAUAAACGUUUUGCUCAGUCAAGUGUCAACAGAAUAACAUGAAUGUUUUCAUAGUGAAUGAAUGUUGUCAUUGUAUCACCAAGGUCUGAGGAAGACAGAGUGCAGGCAUGAAAAAGACGGAGAGAGGAAAGAGUAAAACAGGGCCUGGAAGUGGUCCCUCCUAAGAAGUCCUGCCUUACUGAAUGAGUCUGUGCAGCAUCAGAGGCUGAGAACUUGCUGGAACUGGACACAGGGAACAGAGAGAAUUCUCUGCUUGAGGACACCUUUGAGGCAGCAAGGUGGUGUACCACAAGGUCCUUCAAAGGAAGCCUUUCCCUUCCCCAGGUCAUCACCAUGGACAGGGAAGCUUGCCAGAGGGCAGUGGAGAGGUUAUGCUUCUGUGAUGGCCUAGAUGAACAGGAGAUGAAUGAUUGCAGGGAACCGUUCCUGUUCAUGUUUAGUUUUCAGUCCGACUAUGAGGAGUUCUGCAGAGAAAUUGAGGAAAAAAGGAAAUGAAGGUGUUUUCUGGUUUUGAAAUGCCAUAGUACAGCGGUGUCACAGUUUUUGCAUUCUUUUUCCUCCUCACAUUGGUUUUUUGGAGGUUCUCUUGUUUUUUGUGUGCUUUUUGGUUCAUU